UUUAAAAUUGUUUUAAGGUCCCAUUUCAUUAUACCUAGUGAUUCCACAUGAUCAGAAUAGAGAAUUAUUUCGGGUUAACAACCACGAUUCACUUUAGGCCUUUAUUGCUUUUAGGCGACUUGAAUAUAAUCUGAAAUAAAAUGCUACAACUGCACUACACACUCGAUUAAAAAGAAAUUUUGGAAAUGUAGUUAUAAUUUUACCACUUUAAUACAUUUUUUCUUUAUUAUAGACAUAGAAAACGUUUAUUUCUGUUGCCACAGACACUAAUAACAUUAAUAACAUUAACAUAUAAAGCAUUAAAACAAUAUUGAUAUUACACGUGCAUACAAGCAUAAUGCUAAAAGAAUUAGUGUGCUGCAGCAAGGCAUAAAGGCCAUCACUCAGUGAACUUUCUGCACAUUAGUACAAAAACACUGAUUUUCAGUUAUUGCCAUCAAUGUAAGCGCGAGCGCUAAGUUAUAAAAAAAUAAUAAUUAUAUUAAGCGGUCUACACACCAAAGCCGCUGACCCGGCGGCACGGAUCGCCGGCCCAACCCGCCGGCCUUAUUUUGUACAAUCAUGCCGCCGGCUUGCGCCCGCGCGGGCAAGCCGGCGGGGCAGCAUGCCGAUGCCGACGGCAUCCCUCUCCACUCACUCAGUCAGUUGCCCGCCGGCUUUCAUAGAGUAGUGACGUAUCACUUAUUCAUUCUCUGUUGUUGUGAAGUGUCGGCACUUUUAUUUUUAUCAACUAACCAAUAUGGAGUGGGACGAUGCAACAGUUAUAAAACUAAUAGACCUCUAUCAUUUAAAAGAAAUAUUAUGGAACCCAAAAAACCGUGACUACAAAAGCCGGCCAAAGCGUUACGACGCAUUUAAUGAAAUUGCCAGUGAAUUUGCUACUGAUGUUCCGGAAAUCGAGAGAAAGAUAAAAAAUUUAACUAGUCAUUAUUACCGAGAGAAAAAAAAGAAGAUAAUUCAAAUAAGUCUGGUGCGGGUACUGAUGGUAUUUAUCAUAGUAAAUGGUUUGCCUACAAAUCACUAAAUUUUCUGCGGAACAAAAAUGUGCCUACUGGAACCACCGAUACUGACACACCGUCGACGAGCCACGAUUCACAAUCGAGACGAGAAUCACAAUCAAAUCAAAAUGAUUUACCACAGAUGUCACCAGGAGAUUCACAAUCAAAUCAUAAUGAUUUACCACAGAUGUCGCCAGAAAAUACAACUUGGCAACGAAAUAAACGUCCUAAAAUCAACCCUAAUAAAGAGUUGAUAUCCGAAGCAUUGAAUAUUAUGAAGAAUGUCUCCCAACGACCAAAUGUGACAAAAGAUGAGGAUGGUUUAUUUGGAGAUUAUAUUGCGGGUCAGUUAAGACAAAUGGAUCGACAAAUGAAAGCUAUUGUGAGACAUCGGAUCAACAAUAUAAUAUUUGAAGCCGAAACUGGAUAUAGAUCCGAUACAUUUACGGAUUUUGCAAGACCAAGUAGUGUUUCUAGUUCACACAGUCAUCCAGGAUACUAUACAGCAUCUUCACUACAACAGGCGGUUGUAAGCCCUUCUACAAAUAACUUAACUUCUUCUGAAUACUCUGCCCAAACAAACUCAGAUCCACAAACAAUUCAACCUUCGUCACUAGAAACAUUUGCUGAAGAAUACCUAGCUCUAAAUCCUUCUGAUAGUGUUAUAAAGUAAUCUUCAAAAUAUGUUAUAAAUAUUUAAUUUUCUUUUUGGUAUAAUAAAGGUAGCUAUAGGUAGCCCCAUUAAAGUUAAAUUUAAAAUUAGUGUUGACUAUUCCCUUCACACGAGUAGAGCUUGACAUAUGUGCGUAAGGAAUAGCAAGGUUUUAAUUUUAGUUUAGUGACACUUCUACCAAUAGUUAAUAUCAUGUUAUUGGUUUACAAAAACACAUUUCUUAUUUUGUUUAAAAUUUUAUUAUACGAAUCACAAUAAAAGUGUAUCUCACUGUGUAAUUUACGAUUUUAGAUUUAAUGGAUAAUACAUGGAACUACUUUAAUGAUUAAAAAUAAUAUUGAUUAUAUGAGUUGAGUUAUUGGUUAUAUUGCCAUUCUAAUCCUCCGACACUAGAAAGAAAAUAAUGAGUCAACUCCACUCUUGUAUCCUCAGCGGUCACUGUAGUAUCCGAGGUUUGAUUGUCUUCUCCUGACAUAUUAUCUAAGCAACUGUCGUUUUCAAGAUGUCUACGCCAUUCACCGGGAAAGAUUUCUCCUUGAUUAUUUUCAGUAUCGUAUUCAUUUUGCUGAGUUGCAGCGGUUCGUUUGAUAUAAUUAAAUAAAUGUAUACACGCCAAAGUUACAGUAGUAGCUUUUUCUGGGAUUAGCUGAAUAGGUCUAUGAAAAAUCUUAAAUUUGUGUGUUAACUGCCCAAACACGUUUUCAACUACUCUUCGCCCUCGACAUACGCGAUAGUUAAAAACCCUCUUAGAUGAUCCCAUUGUGUGAUUACCAUCAUAAGCCUUUAUAAUAUGGGGUUGCAGAGGAAACGCGUCAUCACCCAAAAAAAAAUACGGUACUG